rnacentral:rRNA from 1 species
CUUGCUACCUGACCUAGCGGCGGACGGGUGAGUAAUGCUUAGGAAUCUGCCUAUUAGUGGGGGACAACAUUCCGAAAGGAAUGCUAAUACCGCAUACGCCCUACGGGGGAAAGCAGGGGAUCUUCGGACCUUGCGCUAAUAGAUGAGCCUAAGUCAGAUUAGCUAGUUGGUGGGGUAAAGGCCUACCAAGGCGACGAUCUGUAGCGGGUCUGAGAGGAUGAUCCGCCACACUGGGACUGAGACACGGCCCAGACUCCUACGGGAGGCAGCAGUGGGGAAUAUUGGACAAUGGGCGAAAGCCUGAUCCAGCCAUGCCGCGUGUGUGAAGAAGGCCUUUUGGUUGUAAAGCACUUUAAGCGAGGAGGAGGCUACUUGGAUUAAUACUCUAGGAUAGUGGACGUUACUCGCAGAAUAAGCACCGGCUAACUCUGUGCCAGCAGCCGCGGUAAUACAGAGGGUGCGAGCGUUAAUCGGAUUUACUGGGCGUAAAGCGUGCGUAGGCGGCUUUUUAAGUCGGAUGUGAAAUCCCUGAGCUUAACUUAGGAAUUGCAUUCGAUACUGGGAAGCUAGAGUAUGGGAGAGGAUGGUAGAAUUCCAGGUGUAGCGGUGAAAUGCGUAGAGAUCUGGAGGAAUACCGAUGGCGAAGGCAGCCAUCUGGCCUAAUACUGACGCUGAGGUACGAAAGCAUGGGGAGCAAACAGGAUUAGAUACCCUGGUAGUCCAUGCCGUAAACGAUGUCUACUAGCCGUUGGGGCCUUUGAGGCUUUAGUGGCGCAGCUAACGCGAUAAGUAGACCGCCUGGGGAGUACGGUCGCAAGACUAAAACUCAAAUGAAUUGACGGGGGCCCGCACAAGCGGUGGAGCAUGUGGUUUAAUUCGAUGCAACGCGAAGAACCUUACCUGGUCUUGACAUAGUAAGAACUUUCCAGAGAUGGAUUGGUGCCUUCGGGAACUUACAUACAGGUGCUGCAUGGCUGUCGUCAGCUCGUGUCGUGAGAUGUUGGGUUAAGUCCCGCAACGAGCGCAACCCUUUUCCUUAUUUGCCAGCGGGUUAAGCCGGGAACUUUAAGGAUACUGCCAGUGACAAACUGGAGGAAGGCGGGGACGACGUCAAGUCAUCAUGGCCCUUACGACCAGGGCUGCACACGUGCUACAAUGGUCGGUACAAAGGGUUGCUACCUAGCGAUAGGAUGCUAAUCUCAAAAAGCCGAUCGUAGUCCGGAUUGGAGUCUGCAACUCGACUCCAUGAAGUCG